GGUUUUAUGUUUAGGAAACUUUUGACUUUGAAAGUCAUUAAAAAAUGUUCAAUUCAUUUUAAAAUCU
rnacentral:tRNA from 1 species